UACGUAGGGGGCAAGCGUUGUCCGGAUUUAUUGGGCGUAAAGAGCGUGUAGGCGGCCAUGUAGGUCCGUUGUGAAAACUCGAGGCUCAACCUCGAGACGCCGAUGGAAACCAUGUGGCUAGAGUCCGGAAGAGGAGAGUGGAAUUCCUGGUGUAGCGGUGGAAUGCGCAGAUAUCAGGAGGAACACCAAUAGCGAAGGCAGCUCGCUGGGACGUGACUGACACUAAGGCGCGAAAGCGUGGGGAGCGAACAGG
rnacentral:rRNA from 1 species